UUUUUUAUUUGUUUUGUUUUUUGUUAUUUUUGUUAGCUUUGAUUGGGGUUGUGGUGAUAUUUGGUUGUUGGUUCGAGGUAAGGGUGUGGGAAUAGCUAGCUUGUGGAUUUUCUUGGGUUGUGGUUUUGAGCAAACGAGAAAUGGUGAGGGGAUUAAGAAUGAAUGAUUCUUAAGAUUGUUGGGUUAAAAGUGAGGAAUAAGAUUGAUUUUUGACUUUGCUAAGGUUUGGGGUUUGAGUUGUUAAUACUAUUUAGAUUAUCGAGUUAGGGAGUAAUGAUAUAAAGAUUGAGUGACUAAAACGUUAAACUUAUAAAUUUACUAAUAGUUUAAUGACUGUUAUAGUGUGUAAAUAUGCACGUGUUAAAUAUUAGUAAAGUGGUUAUGGAAUUAGUUUUAUUGUUACAGGUUGUUUUCAGCAGUUAGAUCUUUCCUUAGUAUAUAAAUACUCUAAGCAUGUAUACUGGAAGGUAGCAAAAGAAUUAAAAGAAGAGUUUACUUUUAGAUAUUUCUCUUGGAUUGUUUAACAUUUCUUGUAGUUUCUAUCAUGGUAUCAGUCGCUCGGUGAUCCGUGGGCAUGGCUAUCACGCAUUCUCUGGAUUCUGACUCUGUUGAACCUGGUGGCUCGGUGUUUACUGGUGAUCGGAUUGUUACUUUCUUCCCUAAGCAUGAUGUGGUGAAGCUUGAUGAGGGCACCUUUCUUCAAUGGCAGCAGCAGGUACGAUUUAUUCUUACUGGUUAUGACUUGUUCGGGUUUCUUGACGGGACUUUAUCUGCUCCGGCGAGAUAUGUUCAUGAUACCGAUGGCUCCCUUGUUGCGAAUCCAUCUGCCACGAUCUUCACUCAGCAAGAUAAUCUUCUCACCUCGUAGUUAUUGUCUACGAUCAGUUCCUCUUUUUUGUCGUCGUUUACUGAUGUUCGAUCCGCAUGUGAUGUGUGGAUGAUGGCUAGCAGUCUGUUUGCAGCCGAUACUAGCGCAAAACAGUCACAUCUGCGUCACGAACUGCACUCCCUCAAGAAAGGUAGCCUUUCCAUUCGUGCUUAUGUUGAUAAAAUCAAAAGUCUGUGUGUUCUGCUUGCAGCUUCCAGUUCACCGAUCUCGGAGGCAGAGAGGACGGCUGUUUUACUCACCGGCUUAUCUUCCGAAUUUGAUGCUAUUGUUUCGACUGCGUCUUUCUCUUCUACUCCAUUGCCGUUUCAACAUCUUGUUGAUACGCUUCUUGAAUGUGAGGCUCGGCAGAUGCGAUCGGUGUCUGACGUGUUGGUUGCUGUGAACUUUGUCGACGGUUCUUCGCCACCAGUGGUGGAUGUGGCUUCUCGUGGUGGACGGCCCCCAGUGCGUGGUCGUGGACAGGGUUUCGUAGCCGAAUCCAGUGUCAGAUUUGUGCUCGGUAUGGGCAUCUUGCUCAAUGCUGUUACUAUCGGUAUCAUCGUGAUGAGCCAUCUCAAACCGUUGCUCCGAUGGUCUUUCAAGGCGGGUGUGCUUCUGUACCAACUGUGGAUGCUUGGCUUGGCGCAAAUAAGAGUGGUUAUGGGCGUGGUCAAACUUGGAUGCUUCCUGGUCAAAAUUUGGGGGUUUCUGCUACUGAGGCUCCUGUUCACUAUUUUCGGUCAAAUGUGGGGGCUAUUUCCCCACGUGGGCCACAUGCAUUUGUUGCACCUGGGAAUCGAUUCUCUACUCCUGGGUUGCAUGCUGUUGAUAAUGGUGCUGGGCAUAUUUCUCCCUAUUAUAUGGGUCAACAUUCAGGUGCCGAUCAUGCUUAUAGUGCGAGGGCGCGUGGGCCACACGGUGUUGAGACGGGUUCUGAGCUUAGUGGAUCUGUCCGACCUCGUCUCAGUGAUGAGUAGAAUUUUUCUGAACCCAAUGUUAAUUGUGUUAAUGUUUCUGCAGUUCCAUGGCGGACAAAACCGCGAGCCCGUGUUUUUGAUGUUAACUCAUCUUCAUACGACUCGUCACAAUUUAUUGGCAUACCUCAGCUUCCUGAUUUUAAUGCGUCUGAUUUUUCUGAUGCCACGGCAUAUGACUCAAAUGUUAAUUGUACUGACUCGUAUGUUCCAUUACCGGUAGGUAGCACAUCUUGGUGCCCCGAUUCAGGUGCUACUCAUCAUGUGUGUCAAAAUGCGUCCAAUCUACAUGCAUCCUCUCCAUAUACUGGUGAGUCUUCUCUUUUAAUGGGUAAUGGGGUACCCACUAAGAUUUCGUCUAUCGGGAGUACUGUUUUACCUACAACGAAGAAGUUAUUACAUCUGUCGAAUGUCUUAUGUGUACCAAGUAUUCGGAAAAAUUUAUUGUCCGUAUCUCAAUUUGCUACUGACAACAAUGUCUUCUUUGAAUUUCAUCCGUCUUAUUGUGUGAUUAAGGACAUUCAGACACAGGAAAUCUUAAUGCGGGGCCAAGUUCGUGAUGGGCUCUAUCAGUUUUCUGUUGCUUCAGCAUUUCCGUCUGCUUCUGCACACAACACUGACGUUCAAGAACGAUCUACGGGUGAUACUUUUACUUUGUGGCAUAGACGGCUUGGUCAUCCUUCUUCCGCUGUUGUAAAAACUGUUCUUGAUACCUGUCAGAUUGUUACAAAUAAAAGAUCUUUUGAUAAUAUCUGUAUUGCUUGUCAACAAAGGAAAUCACAUAAAUUGCCCUUUUCUAAUUCUACUACUGAAUAUAAUGAAUUGUUUGAGCUAGUUGUAUCUGAUUUGUGGGGCCCGGCUUCUAUUUCAUGUGAAGGAAAUUUGUAUUAUGUGCCGUUCAUUGACAUGUGUAGUAGGUUUACGUGGGUGUAUUUGAUACAACGCAAGUCUCAAGCCGUGGAUUGUUUUCUACAGUUUCAGCAGAUGGUCUCUACGCAGUUUGGAAAGCGUAUUAGGAAAUUUCAAAGUGAUUGGGGUGGCGAGUUUCGUGCUUUUGCGUCUGUUCUCGCUCGUUAUGGGAUUCUUCAUCGUGUUUCGUGUCCCUAUACUUCUGAACAAAAUGGUGUUGCUGAACGUAAACAUCGGCAUAUUGUGGAAACUGCUCUCACUCUCUUGGCUCAGGCAAAUCUCCCUAUGAUUUACUGGGGUUAGGCUUUUUACAGUGCGGUACAUCUCAUUAAUCGUCUGCCUACUUCAGUGUUGCACGGUAAGACACCCUAUCAAUGUUUGUUUGGUAGUAUACCGAUAUAUGAUCAUCUUCGGGUUUUUAGAUGUUGUUGUUUCCCGUACCUACGACCGUUUAAUAAGCAUAAGCUUGAUUUUUGAUCUCAACCUUUUACUUUUCUCGGGUAUAGCUCGCAGCAUAAAGGUUAUUAUUGCUUAACGCCUAGUGGCAAGAUCAUUAUUUCUCGGCAUGUUGUUUUUUAUGAAUAUCGGUUUUUGUUUCCUACGUCUGCUCCUACCACUGUUCAGUUUCCGGCAUGUACUUCCUCCUAUGUUCCUGUGGUUCGCUCCUUUCCUACUACGGUGACUCGACAGCCUUUUGAGUCAGAAUUUUUGCCUAACAAUUCUUGUGACUCAUUGCAUCUUCCCUCAUCUACCUCUAAUCCAUGACAAUCUACUACUGUUGACAUUCGGACUGAUUUUCCUAUUGGUGGUCGAGAGUCAUCACCUUCUACUUCCUCUGAUCCUCCUCUUGCACCUCCUGUUGCAGCUAAUCCUCAUGUAUCUACUACCAAUACUCAUGCCAUGGUCACUCGAUCUAAGGCUGGAGUUUUUAAACCUAAAGCUCCGACCGUCACUACACAUGAUUUUGAGCCAGUAUCUAUUGACGAGGCUCUUGCUCAUCCGGAUUGGAAGGUUACUGUUCAGGCUGAAUACGAUGCUUUGCUUGCUAAUUCUACGUGGGAACUAAGUCCUCUUCCUCCUGGUCGAAAGGUGAUUGGAUGCAAAUGGUUGUUUAAGGUAAAGAAAAAUCCUGAUGGAACAAUUGAACGACGAAAGGCACGUUUGGUUGCCAAGGGUUGUUCACAGGUACCCGGUUGUGAUUUUCAAGAGACCUUCAGUCCAGUGGUCAAACCUACCACUAUACGACUCAUUCUGUCAAUUGCGGUGUCACGUGGCUGGCAUCUUCGGCAAGUUGAUAUCAAUAAUGCUUUUUUAAACGGUGAUUUGACUGAUGAGGUUUUUAUGCAGCAGCCUCCUGGCUUUGUUCAACAUGGUUCGAAUGGUGAAAAAUUGGUGUGUCGUCUGACAAAAGCUUUGUAUGGUCUACGGCAAGCUCCGCGUGCUUGGUUCAACAAGUUAAAGGAGUUUCUAGUGUCUACUGGGUUUGUUCUAUCAAAAUCUGAUGCAUCGUUAUUUGUCAAAGUUACUUCUACAUUUACUCUCUAUGUUCUUGUCUAUGUGGAUGACAUUGUUAUUAGUGGUAGUGCUAUUGAUGAAAUAAACCGUUUUGUUCAGCAAUUACACAAUCAGUUUGCCUUAAAGGAUAUGGGCGACCUCCAUUAUUUUUUGGGCAUUGAAGUUAGUCGAUCUUCAUCUGGCAGUCUUCAUUUAUGUAAACAAAAAUAUGUCCGCGAGCUUCUUGAUCGGAGUUCUAUGACUAAUGCUAAAGGUGUGCAUACGCCUAUGGUGAGUUCAUCCAUGUUAUCUAAAGAUGAGGGUGAACCUCUUGCUGAUCCAACUGAGUAUCGCAGUCUGGCUGGAGCACUUCAAUAUGUUGUUUUAACACGCCCAGAUAUUGCUUAUGCGGUUAAUCGGGUUUGCCAGUUCAUGCAUGCGCCUACUACCGUGCAUAUGGUGGCAUUAAAGCGUAUCUUGAGAUAUUUACGUGGUACUCUUUCUCAUGGCCUGAUGUUUUGUCGUUCUGAUCGUCUGUCCUUGGUAGGAUAUGUAGAUGCAAACUGGGGUCUUGAUUUUGAUGAUCGUUGGUCCACGACAGGAUACUGUGUAUACUUUGGUCAUACACCUAUAUCUUGGUCGUCUAAAAAACAGCAAGUUGUUUCUCGGUCUACCGCAGAAGCUGAAUAUCGAAGUGUAGCUGCAGUUGCAAGUGAUAUUGCCUGGCUUGUGUCCUUAUUAACAGAACUCAAAAUUAGUUCGAUUGAUUCCCUAAUGAUAUGGUGUGAUAACUCUAGUGCAGUAGCUGUUGCAGCUAAUCCGGUUCUGCACUCAAAAUUUAAACAUGUCGAGCUUGAUUUGUUCUUUGUUCGUGAGAAGGUUGCUAGCGGGGAAUUGGUUGUUGGCGAAGUUCCUGCUUGUGAUCAGGUGGCGGAUAUACUGACCAAACCAUUGACUGCUUCUCUCUUUACUCGGUUUCAAAAUCUUCUUCGCGUCAAACCAUUCGAGGAAGUUAGGUGAAUGUUAUAGUGUGUAAAUAUGCACGUGUUAAAUAUUAGUAAAGUGGUUAUGGAAUUAGUUUUAUUGUUACAGGUUGUUUUCAGCAGUUAGAUCUUUCCUUAGUAUAUAAAUACUCUAAGCAUGUAUACUGGAAGGUAGC
rnacentral:lncRNA from 1 species